UAUACCAUUACCAUUGUAAUAUUGUUAUAAGGCAUCGCUUUACUUACUGAACAUAAAAAAAAUCUUCAUCAUAAAAUUAAUUAAAUGUCAGAAUAGAAAAAAGUGUUUAGAGGGUCCAACCGUACAAACAAACAACUUUUACGUUUUUAACAUUUUCAUUUCUUCAAUAACCCCACAGUUGUUUUAAGCUAUUACUUAAGCGAGGGCUGCACAUGACAAUGUGGCUAGUAUACCCUUUAUAUACAUUUUGAAUAUGCAUAUGAAACCCAUUAUAUUAACGCUGGAAUAGCGGGAAUGCUUGUUUAUUAUAUUAAUUUAUUCUAUUGGAAUGAAUAAAUCUUUUUUCUGGACAUUUAAGAACGGCAUGAAACAAGUAGCUCUAAUAAAUUAAAUUGUUGGAUC